UACGAAGGGGGGCUAGCGUUGUUCGGAAUUACUGGGCGUAAAAGCGCACGUAGGCGGAUAUUUAAGUCAGGGGUGAAAUCCCGGGGCUCAACCCCGGAACUGCCUUUGAUACUGGGUAUCUCGAGUCCGGAAGAGGUGAGUGGAAUUCCGAGUGUAGAGGUGAAAUUCGUAGAUAUUCGGAGGAACACCAGUGGCGAAGGCGGCUCACUGGUCCGGUACUGACGCUGAGGUGCGAAAGCGUGGGGAGCAAACAGG
rnacentral:rRNA from 1 species